rnacentral:rRNA from 1 species
CCGGGCCUUGUACACACCGCCCGUCACACCAUGGAAGUUGGCCAUGCCCGAAGUCGUUACUCCAACCCUUGUGGAGGAGGACGCCGAAGGUGGGGCUAAUGACUGGGGUGAAGUCGUAACAAGGUAGCUGUACCGGAAGGUGCGGCUGGAUCACCUCCUAA